GCAGCAGCCUGAGCUGGGAAGCAGGGUUCACAGGCUCUUUAUUUAACCUCUGCUAUUACCACCUCUCGUCUCUUCUGUGGAGGUGGUCCGCUACAGUUUUGGAAAUAGUACAUUCACUCCAGCCCCUUCCCAAAAGAAAUGUUCAGGCACUAAAUCCUACAGAAGCCCACACCUGCCUGGCCGUGAGGAGCGUAAGACUGCUGCUAAAAUAUUUGUGUAGGAAUCCACCACACCGUGGAGCGAAGCACGCGCUGUAGGCCAGUCUAGCUGCGUUUUGCCUCUUUGGAAGUAAAUGAAGCAUAUGCCUGCUACAGCUUAAAAACACCUUAAAAAAAACACAAAA